CUCGGCGGUACGUAGCGCGGUGGUCCCACCUGACCCCAUGCCGAACUCAGAAGUGAAACGCCGUAGCGCCGAUGGUAGUGUGGGGUCUCCCCAUGCGAGAGUAGGGAACUGCCAGGC
rnacentral:rRNA from 1 species